rnacentral:piRNA from 1 species
CUGAUAUCCUUGUCUAAAUGUGU